rnacentral:lncRNA from 1 species
AGCUAUUGAAUUGUUCCUAACCAAAGAAAGGAGAGAUAUAGAUUACGUUCAUCUCACAAAGAAGUUCCUUUUCAUAAAGAAAAGCUAAACAACAAUCAAAGAACUCCUAGCGCAAAAGAGUAGCCGCUGCUAUGCCUAUGCUAUUUGAUUUCCUAUAGAGCUUGGGCCCACGCGCAAGCUCCUAUCACAAAGCUAGUAGCCUUUUGCUUUCUAUAGCUUCAAAGCCGCCCCCCUUACCCUAUGGUAAAGAAGAGGAAGUAAUAGCAACGGGUACUACGGCUUAUAGAGGUUCUUUUUAGCCCUAUGCUAAAAAAUCCCUAUCCCUAUCCCGCCUAUGCCUAUGCCUCAAGUAAAUAAGCUAAUAGCAACCGUGUGUUGUAGCAGCUAAUGAUUGAAAGGUAGCUGUAGCUGCUUUUGAUUGGAGGGUAGCUAUAGCUUCAAAGCCAAAGAGGAAUGAAGAUUGGAAGGUUUCCGCUGUAGCAGCCAAAGAAGAAGACCCGCAUUAGCCUACUUUUUAGCUCUUGAAUUAGCCAUUCAUUUGUAAGCUACCGACAAUCGCAAGCCUUUGGUAUAUUAGUUCAGAACAGGCGCACUAUUUCUGACUUCGGCUACCUUAACCUUAGCCCAUAAAUUAUGCGACCACCUCUUUGGUUUGAAAGAAUUCGUUUGGUAUAUUAGUAAAGAACAACCAGUAUUCCAUUGAAGAUUGGAAGAGGGGCUG